UGAGUAAUACAUCGGAACGUGUCUUCUAGUGGGGGAUAACUGCCCGAAAGGGCAGCUAAUACCGCAUGAGACCUGAGGGUGAAAGCGGGGGAUCGUAAGACCUCGCGCUGGAAGAGCGGCCGAUGUCCGAUUAGCUAGUUGGUGAGGUAAGGGCUCACCAAGGCGACGAUCGGUAGCUGGUCUGAGAGGACGACCAGCCACACUGGGACUGAGACACGGCCCAG
rnacentral:rRNA from 1 species